AUUGAACGCUGGCGGCAUGCCUUACACAUGCAAGUCGAACGGCAGCACGGGAGCAAUCCUGGUGGCGAGUGGCGAACGGGUGAGUAAAGUAUCGGAACGUGCCCAGUCGUGGGGGAUAACGUAGCGAAAGUUACGCUAAUACCGCAUACGAUCUAUGGAUGAAAGCGGGGGAUCGCAAGACCUCGCGCGAUUGGAGCGGCCGAUAUCAGAUUAGGUAGUUGGUGGGGUAAAGGCGCACCAAGCCGACGAUCUGUAGCUGGUCUAAGAGGACGACAAGCAACACUGGGACUGAGAAACGGCCCAGACUCCUACGGGAGGCAGCAGUGGGGAAUUUUGGACAAUGGGCGAAAGCCUGAUCCAGCCAUGCCGCGUGCAGGAUGAAGGCCUUCGGGUUGUAAACUGCUUUUGUACGGAACGAAAAGGUUUGGGCUAAUAAGCUGAGCUCAUGACGGUACCGUAAGAAUAAGCACCGGCUAACUACGUGCCAGCCGCCGCCGUAA
rnacentral:rRNA from 1 species